UGUUGCUGCCAUGAAUCGACAAGCGGAGGAUAACUAAGAGUUUUUUUCGAAGGUCGAAGGCCAAAUGGAGAUUGAUGAUAGAAAUGGUAAAUGUGAAGGAAAGGAAUACCAGAAAGAAAAAUGACAAACUUGAGGAGGUGGCUGAGGUGGCGACUGACUAUCCGGUGGAUUUGAAUAAUUUGAUCCAUGUCCCUUGCUUUUUCCUAGACAAACUUGAGGAGGUGGCUGAGGUGGCGACUGACUAACCGGUGGAUUUGAAUUUGAUACAUGUUCCUUGCGCCCAAAAGUGUUACGGGCACUGGGUGGAGAAGAAGUAGAACCAGAAGACAUGAUAAAUGGUUUGCUGCUUAAUUUAUCUUGUAUGAAGGAUAUCUUAGAACUUAUGGCUUAUAACCAGAUCACACAUAUAUGUCUCUAUAUAUAUAGU